CUUUGGGAUAACCCUCGGAAACGGGGGCUAAUACCGGAUAGGACCUGCCGGUGCAUGCCGGCGGGUGGAAAGCCUUUUGGCGGCUGGGGAUGGGCUCGCGGCCUAUCAGCUUGUUGGUGGGGUGAUGGCCUACCAAGGCGACGACGGGUAGCCGGCCUGAGAGGGCGACCGGCCACACUGGGACUGAGACACGGCCCAGACUCCUACGGGAGGCAGCAGUGGGGAAUAUUGCACAAUGGGCGAAAGCCUGAUGCAGCGACGCCGCGUGAGGGAUGACGGCCUUCGGGUUGUAAACCUCUUUCAGCUCCGACGAAGCCGGAAGGUGACGGUAGGGGCAGAAGAAGCGCCGGCCAACUACGUGCCAGCAGCCGCGGUAAGACGUAGGGCGCGAGCGUUGUCCGGAUUUAUUGGGCGUAAAGAGCUCGUAGGCGGCUCGUCGCGUCAACCGUGAAAACCUGCAGCUCAACUGCGGGCCUGCGGUUGAUACGGGCGGGCUGGAGUUCGGUAGGGGAGACUGGAAUUCCUGGUGUAGCGGUGAAAUGCGCAGAUAUCAGGAGGAACACCGGUGGCGAAGGCGGGUCUCUGGGCCGAUACUGACGCUGAGGAGCGAAAGCGUGGGGAGCGAACAGGAUUAGAUACCCUGGUAGUCCACGCUGUAAACGUUGGGCGC
rnacentral:rRNA from 1 species